rnacentral:lncRNA from 1 species
GAAUAGCUGAACCGUUGAAAACGAGCUAUUGGAUCGCUAUGAACAGAGUCCGAUACGCGCCGAAAGCCAACUCUACUCCGUGGCUUCUCCGGAAAACCGGAGUUACUAUUCACUUAAGUGAAAACUAAUAAUCGCGUAACUUCUCCAUUUUAGCUCAUUUUCUCCUGAAACUUGACGAGUGCUUAUGUAAUUAAAUUACACACAUAAACAUCAUCAACAGAGAGUUUAGUUACACUGUAAAAAUCUCAGUCCUUACAAAUGCCCCCAUCAUUAAUUUUCUUAAGUUUAUUU